CCUACGGGUGGCAGCAGUGGGGGAUAUUGCACAAUGGGGGAAACGCUGAUGCAGCGAAGCCGCGUGGGUGAAGAAGCGCCUGGGCGCGUAAGGCCCUGUCAGCAGGGAAGAAAAUGACGGUACCUGACGAAGAAGCCCCGGCUAACUACGUGCCAGCAGCCGCGGUAAUACGGAGGGGGCAAGCGUUAUCCGGAUUUACUGGGUGUAAAGGGGGCGCAGAGGGCGAUGCAAGCCAGUAGUGAAAGCCCGGGGCCCAACCCCGGGACUGCUCUUGGAACUGGGUGCCUAGAGUGCAGGAGGGGCAGGCGGAAUUCCUGGUGUAGCGGUGAAAUGCGUAGAGAUCAGGAGGAACUCCGGUGGCGAAGGCGGCCUGCUGGACUGCAACUGACGUUGAGGCCCGAAAGCGUGGGGAGCAAACAGGAUUAGAUACCCUGGUAGUC
rnacentral:rRNA from 1 species